CUGCUGGUCUCAGCAGCUGGAGGGAGAGAGAGAGACUGUCACUGGUGUCUAGCCAUGGCGUGUUUGGAUGGUGUCAUCUUGAUUUUUCUGUUCUGCGGAUUUCUCCAAGCAGAGGCCAAGUACACAUGUCACUGUAAGACACAGUGUCCUGCGGUGCCGAACAACCGCCCGUCAGCAGUUUGCCAGGAAGGAUGCGCGCGUGGGUUCUACGGAAUGCACUGUCAGAACCAAAAUGUUGCUCUGGAAAGGAGAGCUUCGCAAAUUAGUACGUAUACAGAUUUCCUGAGGCGAUUCGGGAAACUGGGUAAAACUAUCCCAAACACACCGGAGAGGGCCGUCGACGGAAACGCUAAUACAUUCUACUCACGACGUUCGUGUACACACACAGGCUUAAACGAGACAGCUCCAUACUGGACUGUGGAUCUUGGUCAAGCGUAUGAUUUGUACAGAAUGGUCAUAUACCACAGGAGUACACUAACCGAACGCUUGAGUGGCUUCGAGGUGAAGGUUGAUGGCAGAAUGUGCUAUCGAUGGGAAAGCAAAGAGGCCCCCCACCCAUUCGGAUAGCCCUUAACUGCUUGCAACCAAUGAGAGGUCAAAACGUCACAAUAGACUUGCCAAAGAGGGAAGACGGCGCCUUACAGAUUCUCACGUUAUGUGAAGUUCUUGUGCUCGUGUGCAAUGACUACUGGUUCGGGGUUCAGUGUGAGGAGACCUGCCGCUGUCGAGACCCCCCUGGAAAUAUGCAACAAGGUCACGGGUCACUGUGACAGCGGAUGCGCUAGCGGCUAUGUGGGUGACGACUGUCAACAAGUUUCAGGAACCAACCAGGGCUCAUCGAUAGGUCCAGAUCCAGGUAGAACGAGCCAGGCCACGGCUACAGAGUUAAUGGGAGGAGCUACUCCAAACCCGGGGUCGAACAACGAUGGUGGGGAUAUAACGAAUAUACCGACAGGUGGGCAAAUAACAGCUAUAACCUUUGCCGUUAUCGUCGCCAUGGUAGCUGCUGUUUCAUCUCUCCUCUACUUUCUGAGAUGGAGGGAAUCCAAGAGAGCCAUGACCCCCGACAGUAACUAUGAUGACCUCAGCAGACCGGAUAUUCCCGAACACAGAUAUGUGACAAUGUCAGAUGUCGUGCGGAAGCACAGUACAAACUCGGGGGUCAAGGUCAAGACUGAUAGCGAGGCUAAAUGCAGAGACAGCGAGAAUCAUUAUGACCAUGUGAUUGACAGCGAGGCCUUUCCAGAUGAAAAUGGGUAUUUGGUUCCUAUUGGAGAGACCAGGGCGUCCAGUGUCAAUCAGUAUGACCAUGUGAUUGACAGCGAGGCCUUUCCAGAUGAAAAUGGGUAUUUGGUUCCUAUUGGAGAGACCAGGGCGUCCAGUGUCAAUCAGUAUGACUAUGUGAUUGACAGCGAGGCGUUUCCGGAAGACCAGGGGUAUUUGGAGAUCAAGGCUCCCAGCGUCAAGAAAUAGGGACGCGAGGAGAAGCGGCAGACUUUUCAACGUUGUCACAAGAUACAUUAACACUGGAGUGAUUGAGUGCGUGAGUGCGUGAGUGCGUGUUUGGGAGAAUUGUGUUUUACGCCGUUUUUAGCAAUAUGC